ACGGUUACCUUGUUACGACUUAGCCCCAGUCACCGAUUUCGCUCUAGGGCGCGCCUCCCGGCGACGCACUUCAAGCGCCCUCGGCUCCCAUGGCUUGACGGGCGGUGUGUACAAGGCCCGGGAACGUAUUCACCGCGCCAUGGCUGAUGCGCGAUUACUAGCGAAUCCAGCUUCACGGAGUCGGGUUGCAGACUCCGAUCCGAACUGAGAGGGGCUUUCGGGUUCCGCUCGGCGUCGCCGCCUGGCUUCCCGCUGUACCCCCCAUUGUAACACGUGUGUCGCCCCGGACGUAAGGGCCGUGCUGAUUUGACGUCAUCCCCGCCUUCCUCGCGGCUUGCGCCGGCAGUCCGUGCAGAGUCCCCAGCCUUUCCUGCUGGCAACUGCACGCGGGGGUUGCGCUCGUUAUGGCACUUAAGCCGACACCUCACGGCACGAGCUGACGACAACCAUGCAGCACCUCGGAAGACGUCCCGAGGGAAAGGGGCGUCACUGCC
rnacentral:rRNA from 1 species